rnacentral:lncRNA from 1 species
AACUAUAUCCCAUCCCUGGCUAAUCUGAAAUAUAAAAGAGUAACUGCAAACUCCAGAUGCCCUCGUUGCGAAUCUGAGGAGGAAGAUAGCCAUCAUGUGUUUCGAAAAUGUCCUGUAAGCAUGGAAGUAUGGAUUAGACUCAAUAUGACGUGGGUAACAGAAUAUACAAGUCAGAAUGUCUGGAGUUGGCUCACCUGGGUCUUUGAUAAAGGAACAAAGGAGCAGACUCGAUUGUUUUGUUGUGCUCUAUGGGUUUUAUGGGGCUCGCGGAAUCAGAUUAUACAUGAGAAGAAAGCCAUAUCAGGAUUAGA